rnacentral:rRNA from 1 species
UGCAGUCGAGCGGCAGCGACAACAUUGAACCUUCGGGGGAUUUGUUGGGCGGCGAGCGGCGGACGGGUGAGUAAUGCCUGGGAAAUUGCCCUGAUGUGGGGGAUAACCAUUGGAAACGAUGGCUAAUACCGCAUGAUAGCUUCGGCUCAAAGAGGGGGACCUUCGGGCCUCUCGCGUCAGGAUAUGCCCAGGUGGGAUUAGCUAGUUGGUGAGGUAAGGGCUCACCAAGGCGACGAUCCCUAGCUGGUCUGAGAGGAUGAUCAGCCACACUGGAACUGAGACACGGUCCAGACUCCUACGGGAGGCAGCAGUGGGGAAUAUUGCACAAUGGGCGCAAGCCUGAUGCAGCCAUGCCGCGUGUAUGAAGAAGGCCUUCGGGUUGUAAAGUACUUUCAGCAGUGAGGAAGGAGGUAUCGUUAAUAGCGGUAUCUUUUGACGUUAGCUGCAGAAGAAGCACCGGCUAACUCCGUGCCAGCAGCCGCGGUAAUACGGAGGGUGCGAGCGUUAAUCGGAAUUACUGGGCGUAAAGCGCAUGCAGGUGGUUUGUUAAGUCAGAUGUGAAAGCCCGGGGCUCAACCUCGGAAUUGCAUUUGAAACUGGCAGGCUAGAGUACUGUAGAGGGGGGUAGAAUUUCAGGUGUAGCGGUGAAAUGCGUAGAGAUCUGAAGGAAUACCGGUGGCGAAGGCGGCCCCCUGGACAGAUACUGACACUCA